UUUUUUUUUUUUUUUUUGAGACAGUCUCGUUCUGUCGCCCAGGUGGGAGUGCAGUAUCACGAUCUCAGUUCACUGCAGCCUCUGCCUCCUGGGUUCAAACUAUUCUCCUCCCUCAGCCUCCCGAAUAGCUGAGACUACGGGUGCGUGCCACCACGCCCAGCUCAUUUCUGUAUCUUUAGUAGAGACAGGAUUUCACCAUGUUGGCCAGGAUGGUCUCAAUCUCUUGACCUCAUGAUCCGCCCACCUUGGCCUCCCAAAGUGCCAAGAUUACAGGCAUGAGCCACCGCACCCGGCUCAGGGAAUGUUUUAUCCUAAGGUCAGCCUACUCUUGGGAGGGGAUAUUAAGGAGGAGAAGUUGUUCUAAAUCACAGUGGCCAAGCGUGAUCAAGGAGGAGAGGCUGUGAAAUUUCAGUGCCCAAGAGUGACCCAAUAGUCAGAGACCUUGAAGUAAGAGAGAAGCCUAAAUAAGAUUUGAUUAAGUCAAGUAAACAAGCAUUGUUCCCACUGAUCAAUGUGGAUAAACAAUUGAGUAAUCCUUGGUGAGACAAAGGGUGGGAAAUUGGAGCUUUUUCCUACGUAAGCAAAGAAGGUAUCAUUAGACUUGAAGUACUCUGGGGAAAGUGGGGUUAUUUGAACUAAGCUUUUAGGUUGGGCAGAGGAGUGGUUUCUGGUAGGUUUUUUUUGUUUUUUGUUAUUUUUCCCCAAGGCACAGUCUGAAGAGGUCUCGAGAACAUGUGACCUUCUGGUGGGUCCUUCAACCUUUGCUAUUUACUAGUUUUACAGUGCUGUGGUAAACUUCAACAUUGUCAGCACAUAUUAUAACAUCAAACAAAGAUUUUAAAAAAUAAUAAAUACACGUCUUCUACUUGAAAAACAGAACUAAAAUAGUAAGAACAAUAGCAGACUGCUCUUUACCUCAGUUUUUGAAUGACAUUGAAGGGUCCUCAGUGUGCAUUCCGGCUGUGUGGUAUUCAUUUCUAUCACAUGCAAGACACUGAUCGGUUCUUGUUGGAAGAUACCGCUCUACAUUUCCAACUUCAAGGGUCUCUGCAACUAUCGAAUGAAGCAGAAAGCCCGGGUCAUAUUAAGGAAAAUAUUGUCCCCUUAUAC
rnacentral:lncRNA from 1 species